CGUUUCCUCUCCCUUUCCCUGUGCUCCGCCACCCCUCUAGCCUUUGUUUUUUUUUUUUUGUUUUUUUUUUUUAAAUCCUCCCCCUCGAAGGUGAUGGACUACUGGCCAGAUAGCCUUAGCUUCUGGGCUCUUUGUCAAAAGAUGGAGCCAGAACCCUGGAUGCCACCAAACCCCUGCUUAGAGCAGCACCUGUUUCCUCCGCUUUGAUGGCCCUCGGGAUUUUUUUCUCUCAAAGGUGCCACCUGGGACAGUGCUACCUUGGCAGCACGGGAAGACCCAAUUCCAAAUGUGCUGGAAUGUUUUCCUACUCUGCAUUCGAAAUUCACUUUUUAAAAAAAAGUUUUCCCCUCAUUGAUUUCCAAUUUGCUCCCCCCACCACCACCUUUUUUUAAAGGGGAGAGGCGUGAAGACAAUUGAACCGCAGUGAAGUGAAAAAUUGAUAUUAGGGUUUUAGAAAUCUUCUCUAAAAGAUUUUCUCAAAAGACAAAUCCCUGUUAUGAAAAGGACGGGUGUGGGCAGCAUUUAAGGAAUCGUGGCAGCCUGACGAAGUCACAAAAGAAUAUAUAAAGUUUCACACUGCCAAAAGGGUGAGGUUGAGAUGCAUGCUAUAUAGAUCCCAAUCUGGUAAGCCUAGUGAUGCUGCCCAGGGAAAUUCUAAGCUGCUAUCUCUGCGUGGACGCAGUGUUCACUCAUUUAAAUAUCCAACAGGUAUUUGUUAAUGUUAAUUACAUGUUCCCAAGGAGCUGGGGAUGCAAAAGUUAACCAGAUGCAGUCGGACCUGAAUUCAGAGGGCUUAUUUAUCCUCCGGCUAAUGAGGCAUAAGAUGUGAAUUAGUGUCUAGUGUUAACAUCAGCUGUUAGAGGGGAUUUAAAGAGUUGAACUCCUACUGAGAACUGUUGGGGAGUGGGGAGAGUGUUUACAGCAUCCUUGAAUUCAGACCUGCCUUUGGAACCUGCUUGCUUCUCUGUGUCUCCUUUGUACAUUUGAGAUUAAGUAAGUAUCCACUUCAUAAUGAGCGAAGUGGUUCAUAAAAAUGUCCCGUGUUUGGGAAGAAUUC
rnacentral:lncRNA from 1 species